GCCUGGCUCAGUUGGUGGAGUGUGGUGCUUGCAAUGCAAAGGUUGUGGGUUCAAUUCCCACCGGCG